UAGGGAAUCUUCGGCAAUGGGGGCAAACCCUGACCGAGCAACGCCGCGUGAGUGAAGAAGGUUUUCGGAUCGUAAAGCUCUAGUUGUAAGAGAAGAACGUGUGUGAGAGUGGAAAGUUCACACAGUGACGGUAACUUACCAGAAAGGGACGGCUAACUACGUGCCAG
rnacentral:rRNA from 1 species